GAUGGACUCGCGGCCUAUCAGCUUGUUGGUGAGGUAGUGGCUCACCAAGGCGACGACGGGUAGCCGGCCUGAGAGGGCGACCGGCCACACUGGGACUGAGACACGGCCCAGACUCCUACGGGAGGCAGCAGUGGGGAAUAUUGCACAAUGGGCGAAAGCCUGAUGCAGCGACGCCGCGUGAGGGAUGACGGCCUUCGGGUUGUAAACCUCUUUCAGCAGGGAAGAAGCGCAAGUGACGGUACCUGCAGAAGAAGCACCGGCUAACUACGUGCCAGCAGCCGCGGUAAUACGUAGGGUGCGAGCGUUGUCCGGAAUUAUUGGGCGUAAAGAGCUUGUAGGUGGUUUGUCGCGUCUGCUGUGAAAAUCCGGGGCUCAACCCCGGACUUGCAGUGGGUACGGGCAGACUAGAGUGUGGUAGGGGAGACUGGAAUUCCUGGUGUAGCGGUGGAAUGCGCAGAUAUCAGGAGGAACACCGAUGGCGAAGGCAGGUCUCUGGGCCAUUACUGACACUGAGAAGCGAAAGCAUGGGGAGCGAACAGGAUUAGAUACCCUGGUAGUCCAUGCCGUAAACGUUGGGAACUAGGUGU
rnacentral:rRNA from 1 species